rnacentral:rRNA from 1 species
AUCACCCCAAUUUUAGCCAAAACACCAAACACUACUGCCAAGAAACUCAAAGUAGACUUGGAAAAGAUGUACCCCAUUAAACUGAAAUAUACCACAGUGUGGAAGGCAAAACAAAGGACAAUGAAAAACUUAUAUGGUGAUUGGGCAAAUACAUUUAGGAUGCUUUACAACUUCAAAGCAGAGGUGGAAAAGAGGUCACCUGGUAGUGUUGUGGAGAUAGAUACAGAGGUAUCAGCCAAAGGUGAAGUCAAGUUCUCCAAGUUUUUUAUGGCUUUGAAGCCUUGCAUAGAUGGCUUCAAAGCAGGGUGCCGUCCAUAUUUGAGCAUAGAC